rnacentral:rRNA from 1 species
UACGAAGGGGGCUAGCGUUGCUCGGAAUCACUGGGCGUAAAGCGCGCGUAGGCGGAUUUUUAAGUCAGGGGUGAAAUCCCGGGGCUCAACCCCGGAACUGCCUUUGAUACUGGGGAUCUUGAGUUCGAUAGAGGUUGCUGGAACUGCGAGUGUAGAGGUGAAAUUCGUAGAUAUUCGCAAGAACACCGGUGGCGAAGGCGGCCAACUGGCUCGUAACUGACGCUGAGGAGCGAAAGCUUGGGGAGCAAACAGG